rnacentral:lncRNA from 1 species
AUUGCCUUUACUUCAUUUGAUUCUCAUUCAAGUCCUUCACAUCACAUUCACAUAUAUGAUAUCAUGUCAACACUUCAAUUCCUCAUAUAAUGCCUCCAAGGCCAUAAACACAAUAUAUUCGAUAAGUAAACACCUCCACCAUAAGUGGAUCACACAUCAAUCUAUCACAAUUCUAUAUCAACUCUACCUUAACAAUGAAGUUAGGUCCACUACCCUUUUUCCCAAGCCACAAUCACCAUUCCUCUACUUUCCAACAAUUCACAAUAGAUAAGCAUAGAUAAUAAUAGAAGUCAACUAUUCAACUCAAUCCAAGCAUACUUCCCUCAUCAUUCAAUCAUAAAUAAUAAACCCACUUCAUAAGCCAACUUUAAGAAACUUGCCAAGACAUGGGUUCAUGGAAAUUUCUAUCUUAAAACCAUCAAUAGACACCAUUAAUAACGUAAAUCAUCAAAAAAAAUCAUUUAAUGCAAGAACCCAUGCUUAGAAUAGAAAUUAGGAUUUUUGUGUUUUUGGAAGAACUUUGAAUCAUUUGAAUUGAGCUCCUUGAAAGGAAGAAUAAUCAUGGAUAAAGGAUCCCCAUACCUCUAAGUUGAAAACCCACGAGAAUUGAAGAAGAAGGAACUCAAAAUCUUCAAUCCUAGCUCCAACUUCUUCUUCUUCUUCUUCCCCUCUUCUUCUCUUCUUCACUCAAGAACCCUAACUCUUACUAUUUUAAAAUGGAAAAAAAUUUAUCCACAAUCAGCCUAACACAAUAAUAUAACCUCAAAAGAAAAGAUUUGUGAAAAGACC